UACGAAGGGGCUAGCGUUGCUCGGAAUGAUCUGGGCGUAAAGGGCGCGUAGGCGGAUGGCACAGUCAGAUGUGAAAUUCCCGGGCUUAACCUGGGGCUGCAUUUGAUACGUGUGAUCUAGAGUGAGGAAGAGGGUCGUGGAAUUCCCAGUGUAGAGGUGAAAUUCGUAGAUAUUGGGAAGAACACCGGUGGCGAAGGCGGCGACCUGGUCCUUGACUGACGCUGAGGCGCGAAAGCGUGGGGAGCAAACAGG
rnacentral:rRNA from 1 species